CAUACAAGGCAGACGGCUCAGUAACGCGUAGUCAACCUACCCUAUGGACGGGGAUAACCUCGGGAAACUGAGAAUAAUACCCGAUAGAACAUUAUGCCUGGAAUGGUUUAUGUUUCAAAUAAUUUAUUGCCGUAGGAUGGGACUGCGGCCUAUCAGUUUGUUGGUGAGGUAAUGGCCCACCAAGACUAUUACAGGUACGGGCUCUGAGAGGAGUAGCCCGGAGAUGGGUACUGAGACACGGACCCAGGCCCUAUGGGGCGCAGCAGGCGAGAAAACUUUGCAAUGUGCGAAAGCACGACAAGGUUAAUCCGAGUGGUUUCUGCUAAAGGAACCUUUUGUCAGUCCUAGAAACACUGAUGAAUAAGGGGUGGGCAAGUUCUGGUGUCAGCCGCCGCGGUAAAACCAGCACCUCAAGUGGUCAGGAUGAUUAUUGGGCCUAAAGCAUCCGUAGCCUGCUUUGUUAGUUUUCGGUUAAAUCCAUACGCUCAACGUAUGGGCUGCCGGGAAUACUGCAAAGCUAGGGAGUGGGAGAGGUAGACGGUACUCGGUAGGAAGGGGUAAAAUCCUUUGAUCUAUUGAUGACCACCUGUGGCGAAGGCGGUCUACCAGAACACGUCCGACGGUGAGGGAUGAAAGCUGGGGGAGCAAACCGGAUUAGAUACCCGGGUAGUCCCAGCUGUAAACUAUGCAAACUCGGUGAUGCAUUGGCUUGAUGCCAAUGCAGUGCUGCAGGGAAGCCGUUAAGUUUGCCGCCUGGGAAGUACGUACGCAAGUAUGAAACUUAAAGGAAUUGGCGGGGGAGCACCACAAGGGGUGAAGCCUGCGGUUCAAUUGGAGUCAACGCCGGG
rnacentral:rRNA from 1 species